rnacentral:rRNA from 1 species
CAAGGCGGGUGCUAUACAUGCAAGUCGAGCGAAUGGAUUAAGAGCUUGCUCUUAUGAAGUUAGCGGCGGACGGGUGAGUAACACGUGGGUAACCUGCCCAUAAGACUGGGAUAACUCCGGGAAACCGGGGCUAAUACCGGAUAACAUUUUGAACCGCAUGGUUCGAAAUUGAAAGGCGGCUUCGGCUGUCACUUAUGGAUGGACCCGCGUCGCAUUAGCUAGUUGGUGAGGUAACGGCUCACCAAGGCUACGAUGCGUAUCCGACCUGAGAGGGCGCUGGGCCACACUGUGACUGACCCAGGAUCAACUCCU